rnacentral:tRNA from 1 species
CCCCUGGUGGCCCAGAGGUCAGGACGCGGCACUUUCACUGCCAGGGGGCCCCAGUUCAAUUCCUGGCCAGGGAA